rnacentral:rRNA from 1 species
CAGCAGCCGCGGGAAGACAGAGGAUGCAAGCGUUAUCCGGAAUGAUUGGGCGUAAAGCGUCUGUAGGUGGCUUUUCAAGUCCGCCGUCAAAUCCCAGGGCUCAACCCUGGACAGGCGGUGGAAACUACAAAGCUGGAGUACGGUAGGGGCGGAGGGAAUUUCCGGUGGAGCGGUGAAAUGCGUUGAGAUCGGAAAGAACACCAACAGCGAAAGCACUCUGCUGGGACGACACUGACACUAAGAGACGAAAGCUAGGGGAGCAAAUGGGAUUAGAUACCCCCGUAGUCCCUGUCUCUUAUAC